GAUCAUGGCUCAGGAUGAACGCUAGCGACAGGCUUAACACAUGCAAGUCGAGGGGCGGCGGGGAGUAGCAAUACUUCGCCGGCGACCGGCGCACGGGUGAGUAACACGUGUGCAACCAACCCCGUACCGGGAGAUAACCCGCGGAAACGUGGACUAACAUCCCAUAAUACUGAAGGAUCGCAUGAUCUUUCAUUUAGAAUUCCGGUGGUACGGGACGGGCACGCGCGACAUUAGGUAGUUGGCGGGGUAAGGGCCCACCAAG
rnacentral:rRNA from 1 species